rnacentral:rRNA from 1 species
ACUUUUGGCCAAACCUCCUUCUUAAAGCUUGAUCCUGUCAGAUCUCAGAGGCUAAACAAGAUUGGGCCUGGUAAUACUUGGAUGGGAAACCACUGAAAAUAUCAGGUGCCACAGUA